rnacentral:tRNA from 1 species
AGUUCUGUGGCUUAGUUUGUUAAAGCGCCGGACUAAUGUUACGGAGUCGUGGGCUCGAAUCCCACCAAAACAA